AUGUUGCCUAUUCUUGGAAGCUGGAACAACCGCUCAGCACAGGAAGCAACAGCACCAGUUCUGCAGAGGACUGAAAUAUUAUCCUACAGAAAUGCUGCGCACUUCGAAAACCUGUGGGAUUGUGGCAUAUACCCAGUGAUAACUGAAGGUGUCAGCAAGGGGAUUACCGUGCAACUGGGAUCUCACAAUUUCCAAACUGGUCAAAACCCUUUAGAAUGCCAGCAGGCUCCUAUGGCGCGGAUCUUAAAAAUCACUGAAGAAGGAGUCUGUGAGAGGAUUAUGGCUUACGUAAGAGUUUUAUAUCUGCACUAAAGCUACAGGCCUUUUAUGUUUGUGGAGCUGUAUACUGUGUCCACCGAUAAUUCAUGGAUACGAGUACCUACUGAACAGCUAAAAGCUGCAUUUUGUUUUAGAUGAGAUUUCAAGUAUAGGACCCGAUCCCUGUCUUGUGGAAGCUGAUGGGGUUUUGUCUGUGGGAACAGAGCUAAAGCAAUAGAAGUUAUUUAUUUAUUUUGAUUUCUCCAGAUUAAAAUGCUGAGUUCUUCGCUUUUGCAUAUCGUGCUAAAGAAUGUUUCUGUUUUCCUCUGCUAGAAUACCAAAUGAGUCUUUGGUAAAAUAAUCUUUUUUUCCUGUAUCUAGUCCAGAAGUGCAGAGCAUGGUUUUUGUCCUGUCUUUCACUGAGCACAUCUGUUUGUUUGCUGCUAAUAAUAGUUUAAUCAAUGGGGCUGAUUCCUGCAUAUUCUCAGUGCGACAGUAGCCCAGAAGAUUCAGAUGACAGCAGUAAAAGGUCUUUUGUAUUUGUCGCUUUUUCCAAGUGUUCUGUGCUUAAUUAAAAGCAAAGAGAAAGUUUUACUCUUGUUUGCAUGAAUGGUCACAUCAAACAGUACAGGAGAAUCUAGGCCAAGCUGCUUUCAGCAGGCUAAGGAACAUUAUACUAUUGCACUGUGUCCUUUCAUAGUAGCAAUAUCUCUUAAUAAAUGUCAGGGACCUUUUGAACUUUCUUUGAUA
rnacentral:lncRNA from 1 species